rnacentral:rRNA from 1 species
GGCAACAUUGAGUGAGGUACUCGGGGCCAACCUCCCACCCGUGUAUACCGUACCUUGUUGCUUCGGCGGGCCCGCCGCGCAAGCGGCCGCCGGGGGGGCGUCAAACCCCCCUCCCUAGGCGAGCGCCCGCCGGAGACACCAACGUGAACACUGUCUGAAGUUUUGUUGUCUGAGUUCGAUUGUAUCGCAAUCAGUUAAAACUUUCAACAAUGGAUCUCUUGGUUCCGGCAUCGAUGAAGAACGCAGCGAAAUGCGAUAAUUAAUGUGAAUUGCAGAAUUCAGUGAAUCAUCGAGUCUUUGAACGCACAUUGCACCCCCUGGUAUUCCGGGGGGUAUGCCUGUCCGAGCGUCAUUGCUGCCCUCAAGCACGGCUUGUGUGUUGGGUCGUCGUCCCCCCGGGGACGGGCCCGAAAGGCAGCGGCGGCACCGCGUCCGGUCCUCGAGCGUAUGGGGCUUUGUCACCCGCUCUUGUAGGCCCGGCCGGCGCUGGCCGACGCUGAAAAGCAACCAACUAUUUCUCCAGGUUGACCUCGGAUCAGGUAGGGAUACCCGCUGAACUUAA